AGUGAACGCUGGCGGUAGGCCUAACACAUGCAAGUCGAACGGCAGCACAGUAAGAGCUUGCUCUUACGGGUGGCGAGUGGCGGACGGGUGAGGAAUACAUCGGAAUCUACUUUUUCGUGGGGGAUAACGUAGGGAAACUUACGCUAAUACCGCAUACGACCUACGGGUGAAAGCAGGGGAUCUUUGGACCUUUCGCGAUUGUAUGAGCCGAUGACGGCUUAGCUAGUUGGCGGGUUAAAGGCCCACCAAGGCUACGAUCCGUAGCUGCUCUGAGAGGAAGAACACACAGAUGGGAACUGAGAAACGGUACAGACUCUGGGAGGGGGACACAGUGGGGAAUCUUGCACGAGGGGGCAGAGCCGGAUACAGGAAUACCGGGUGAGUGAUGAAGGAGUUAGGGUGGGAGAGUGAUGUUGUUGGGAAAGAAGAGCAGCAGGUUUAUACCCCACGGUUAUGACGGUACCGAAAGAAUAAGCACCGGCUAACUUCGUG
rnacentral:rRNA from 1 species